AGCACUCUGGUAAUCUCUGACCUUCUCUCUGGGAGGCAGCCUGCCCAGAAUUCCCAGGCUCUGGAGUCAUGCAGAUCACCCUGGACCCAUUGCACCCCUGUGUCUCCUGCAGUCUAGGCCAGAGUUGGGAAAUGUCUGUGUGGGAACAAGCAGGAUGAAACCUGAGGAGUUGAAGCCCCCAGUGUAAGAUAAAGGUGUCCGGGGUUAGAGAAGCAGUAUGGCAUCUGCCAUCGCAGUCCAGAAGGAAAUUUAUACUGUAAUGUCAUCCCCAGGCUUGUGCAGCAUAGGGUAUAAGAAAGAAGAUAUAUUCCUGGAGAGUAGCAGGAAGGAGGAGGAGGAGAAAGAAUUGGUUUGGAGAUGCACAAGUUCCUGAUCUCUCUACAUUAGCCUAUUACCCAGAAUGAAUUUUCAUAUCUUCAUUUUUCCGCGAAUUUAUUGUCCAGAAUGGUUAAGAACCACAGUUAACUGAAGUUGAUGCUGGGGUGCUCCAAAAUUCCCUCUUGAGUCAUUCUUCUUAUUCUCAUUUUGGCCUCUUCUUGUAUCUAAAACACUUGGAGGAGCAGAGAUUGUCAAGAAUUAAGAGUUGAGUCAUCAAGGGAAGUAAGGGCCAGAUGACAAAGCACGUCACAUCCCAUCUAAAGAGAAGAAACACAGUUAGCAGAUAGGAUGGCC